rnacentral:rRNA from 1 species
GAAUUCACUAGUGAUUCAGGCCUAACACAUGCAAGUCGAGCGGUAGAGAGAAGCUUGCUUCUCUUGAGAGCGGCGGACGGGUGAGUAAUGCCUAGGAAUCUGCCUGGUAGUGGGGGAUAAAGUUCGGAAACGGACGCUAAUACCGCAUACGUCCUACGGGAGAAAGCAGGGGACCUUCGGGCCUUGCGCUAUCAGAUGAGCCUAGGUCGGAUUAGCUAGUUGGUGAGGUAAUGGCUCACCAAGGCUACGAUCCGUAACUGGUCUGAGAGGAUGAUCAGUCACACUGGAACUGAGACACGGUCCAGACUCCUACGGGAGGCAGCAGUGGGGAAUAUUGGACAAUGGGCGAAAGCCUGAUCCAGACGGGCCGCGUGUAUGAAGAAGGUCUUCGGAUUGUAAUUAACAGGAAGUUGGGAGGAAGGGCAUUAACCUAAUACGUUAGUGUUUGACGUACCGACAGAAU